UACAGAGGGUGCGAGCGUUAAUCGGAAUUACUGGGCGUAAAGCGCGUGUAGGCGGCUUUGCAAGUCGGGCGUGAAAUCCCACGGCUCAACCGUGGAAGUGCACUCGAAACUGCAGAGCUAGAGUCCUGGAGAGGAAGGUGGAAUGCUUGGUGUAGAGGUGAAAUUCGUAGAUAUCAAGCGGAACACCGGUGGCGAAGGCGGCCUUCUGGACAGUGACUGACGCUGAGACGCGAAAGCGUGGGGAGCAAACAGG
rnacentral:rRNA from 1 species